GAUGAACGCUGGCGGCGUGCUUAACACAUGCAAGUCGAACGGGAAUUAUUUUAUUGAAACUUCGGUCGAUUUAAUUUAAUUCUAGUGGCGGACGGGUGAGUAACGCGUGGGUAACCUGCCUUAUACAGGGGGAUAACAGUCAGAAAUGGCUGCUAAUACCGCAUAAGCGCACAGAGCUGCAUGGCUCAGUGCGAAAAACUCCGGUGGUAUAAGAUGGACCCGCGUUGGAUUAGCUGGUUGGUGGGGUAACGGCCCACCAAGGCGACGAUCCAUAGCCGGCCUGAGAGGGUGAACGGCCACAUUGGGACUGAGACACGGCCCAGACUCCUACGGGAGGCAGCAGUGGGGAAUAUUGCACAAUGGGGGAAACCCUGAUGCAGCGACGCCGCGUGAAGGAAGAAGUAUCUCGGUAUGUAAACUUCCAUCAGCAGGGAAGAUAGUGACGGUACCUGACUAAGAAGCCCCGGCUAACUACGUG
rnacentral:rRNA from 1 species